AAUAAAAAAGGUGAAAAUUGGCAUUUCAUUUCUCACAUCCCGAAUAUUGAAGUUGAUUGGAGAAGAGUUCAAUGGGAGGGCCGCUAUCUACUACAGGACCAAGAAGAAUCUUCUACCUCUUGAGAAAUCAAAUGACAAGUUAUGAAGAUUAGACAUAGCGUAUGCACUCUACUUCAAAUCCCUCUUCAACAACAAGCAAUACAAUUAAGUAGUAAGUACCAAUUUCAUUUGUGUACAUUUCUGAAAAUUCUAAUUAAUAAAUUGAUAUCUGGCAAUAAUGCUAAGGAAACCUGAAAGGCAGUUUCAUUUCUAGAUAUUAUAAUGGAUAUGAAUUCUGAAUAAUUUUGACUGGUCUUUCACUUUCUGUAUACAUACACUGGCUCAUCAAAAAUGAAGGAUCAUAGGGUUACAGUUGUUUACAUCACCAUUAACAACAAGUGCAAAGGGUACUCGGAAUGCAUUGGCAGAAGUUAAUAGAGAACUAUUCAGAAACCAAAACAAGAUUGAAUUAUUUUUAUAAAAAGAUUCAUAUAAAGGUCUCAGCAAUUCUUUGAGAGUGAGAACGAAGGGGACGGAGAUUUUUUCCUCUGCUGAUUUGAGUGCUGAAGGAGAGUUCUAAUGGUGUUGGGUGCUGCAAGGUGACUCAAGACAUUUUAGUAUUUACUAGAAAGGUAUUUCUUUUUAUUUUCUCCAAUUUUUUAGGAUCUAAAUUGUGGAUUGAAAUGUAAGAAAUAUUGUGUAUGAUCUCUUGAUAUAGUGGAUUAUUUUUCAGAGACUGGCCCGUGGUUUUUCCCUCUACAUAAGAGGGUUUUCCACGUAAA